GCGAAGAAUGGUGCUUACUCACCGUCCCGAGCUCUGCUGGGGAAGACUGCAAAAGGAUUGUACCCUGAGAAAGAGAUGGUCAGCCGGAAGGUGACGUGUCAGGCAACGAGUAUUCCGGCGGAUAGGGUUCCUGACAUGGGGAAGAGACAGACAAUGAACCUGCUGCUGUUGGGUGCCUUGUCUCUGCCUACUGCAGCGAUGCUGAUUCCAUAUGGUGCAUUCUUUGUUCCACCAGGUACAGGAGGUGGUGGUGGUGGAAUCGUAGCUAAAGAUGCCUUGGGAAAUGACAUUGUUGUAGCUGCAUGGCUGAAGACUCACGGGCCUGGUGACAGAACACUUGCCCAAGGGCUAAGGGGAGAUCCUACUUACCUUGUUGU
rnacentral:misc_RNA from 1 species